GUAGGUGGCAAGCGUUGUCCGGGAAUUAUUGGGGCGUAAAGCGCGCGCAGGCUGUUCUUUAAGUCUGAUGUGAAAGCCCACGGGCUCAACCGUGGAGGGUCAUUGGAAACUGGAGAACUUGAGUACAGAAGAGGAAAGCGGAAUUCCACGUGUAGCGGUGAAAUGCGUAGAGAUGUGGAGGAACACCAGUGGCGAAGGCGGCUUUCUGGUCUGUAACUGACGCUGAGGCGCGAAAGCGUGGGGAGCAAACAGGAUUAGAUACCCUGGUAGUCCACGCCGUAAACGAUGAGUGCUAAGUGUUAGGGGGUUUCCGCCCCUUAGUGCUGCAGCUAACGCAUUAAGCACUCCGCCUGGGGAGUACGGCCGCAAGGCUG
rnacentral:rRNA from 1 species